CCCAGGAGUUCCGGGCUGCUGUGCACUGGGCCGAUUGAGUGUCUGCAUCAAGUUCAGCAUCAGUAUGGUGACCUCCAGGUUGCCUGAGGACGGGUGAACCAGUCUAGGAUGGAAAUGGAGCAGGUCAAAACUCCUAUGCUGAUAGUGGUGGGAUUGCACCUAUGAAUAGCCACUGUAUUCCAGCCUGGG
rnacentral:SRP_RNA from 1 species